rnacentral:rRNA from 1 species
AUGAACGCUAGCUACAGGCUUAACACAUGCAAGUCGAGGGGCAGCAUGGUCUUAGCUUGCUAAGGCCGAUGGCGACCGGCGCACGGGUGAGUAACACGUAUCCAACCUGCCGUCUACUCUUGGACAGCCUUCUGAAAGGAAGAUUAAUACAAGAUGGCAUCAUGAGUCCGCAUGUUCACAUGAUUAAAGGUAUUCCGGUAGACGAUGGGGAUGCGUUCCAUUAGAUAGUAGGCGGGGUAACGGCCCACCUAGUCUUCGAUGGAUAGGGGUUCUGAGAGGAAGGUCCCCCACAUUGGAACUGAGACACGGUCCAAACUCCUGCGGGAGGCAGCAGUGAGGAAUAUUGGUCAAUGGGCGAGAGCCUGAACCAGCCAAGUAGCGUGAAGGAUGACUGCCCUAUGGGUUGUAAACUUCUUUUAUAAAGGAAUAAAGUCGGGUAUGGAUACCCGUUUGCAUGUACUUUAUGAAUAAGGAUCGGCUAACUCCGUGCCAGCAGCCGCGGUAAUACGGAGGAUCCGAGCGUUAUCCGGAUUUAUUGGGUUUAAAGGGAGCGUAGAUGGAUGUUUAAGUCAGUUGUGAAAGUUUGCGGCUCAACCGUAAAAUUGCAGUUGAUACUGGAUAUCUUGAGUGCAGUUGAGGCAGGCGGAAUUCGUGGUGUAGCGGUGAAAUGCUUAGAUAUCACGAGGAACUCCGAUUGCGAAGGCAGCCUGCUAAGCUGCAACUGACAUUGAGGCUCGAAAGUGUGGGUAUCAAACAGGAUUAGAUACCCUGGUAGUCCACACGGUAAACGAUGAAUACUCGCUGUUUGCGAUAUACAGCAAGCGGCCAAGCGAAAGCGUUAAGUAUUCCACCUGGGGAGUACGCCGGCAACGGUGAAACUCAAAGGAAUUGACGGGGGCCCGCACAAGCGGAGGAACAUGUGGUUUAAUUCGAUGAUACGCGAGGAACCUUACCCGGGCUUAAAUUGCAGAUGAAUUACGGUGAAAGCCGUAAGCCGCAAGGCAUCUGUGAAGGUGCUGCAUGGUUGUCGUCAGCUCGUGCCGUGAGGUGUCGGCUUAAGUGCCAUAACGAGCGCAACCCUUGUUGUCAGUUACUAACAGGUUCCGCUGAGGACUCUGACAAGACUGCCAUCGUAAGAUGUGAGGAAGGUGGGGAUGACGUCAAAUCAGCACGGCCCUUACGUCCGGGGCUACACACGUGUUACAAUGGGGGGUACAGAGGGCCGCUACCACGCGAGUGGAUGCCAAUCCCAAAAACCUCUCUCAGUUCGGACUGGAGUCUGCAACCCGACUCCACGAAGCUGGAUUCGCUAGUAAUCGCGCAUCAGCCACGGCGCGGUGAAUACGUUCCCGGGCCUUGUACACACCGCCCGUCAAGCCAUGGGAGCCGGGGGUACCUGAAGUGCGUAACCGCGAGGAGCGCCCUAGGGUAAAACUGGUGACUGGGGCU